AACGAACGCUGGCGGCAGGCUUAACACAUGCAAGUCGAACGCGUGUAGCAAUACACGAGUGGCGCACGGGUGAGUAACGCGUGGAUAUCUGCCUUUUGGUUCGGAAUAACCCCGGGAAACUGGGGCUAAUACCGGAUGGUUCCUUCGGGAUAAAGAUUUAUCGCCAAAAGAUGAGUCCGCGUACGAUUAGCUAGUUGGUGAGGUAAUGGCUCACCAAGGCGACGAUCGUUAGCUGGUCUGAGAGGACGAUCAGCCACACUGGGACUGAGACACGGCCCAGACUCCUACGGGAGGCAGCAGUGGGGAAUAUUGGACAAUGGGGGCAACCCUGAUCCAGCCAUGCCGCGUGAGUGAUGAAGGCCUUCGGGUUGUAAAGCUCUUUUGGCGGGGACGACGAUGACGGUACCCGCAGAAUAAGCCCCGGCUAACUUCGUGCCAGCAGCCGCAGUAAGAC
rnacentral:rRNA from 1 species